ensembl:snRNA U7 U7 small nuclear RNA
UAAUGUUAUAGCUCUUUUAGAAUUUGUCUAGCAGGCUUUCUGGUUUUUGCAGGAAAGUCCCC